CUUAUUUCAGCUCAGUCUCACACCUCACACUCACAGCCACAUGCUCAUUUCAGCUCACCACUCUCACUCACUCUCAAUCUCACUGCCGACCCAACUACCUAACCUCUCACCAUCGGUCCAAUCAUUCUUCGCCAGUCCAAGCUCUCACUCUCACUCACUCUCAAUCUCAUCGCCGACCCUAGCUCUCUCCACCGGUCCAAGCUCUCACCGCCGUCCCAAGCUCUCACUGCCAGCCAGUCUAAGGUCUGUCACCCGCCACCCAAGCUCUGUUAGUGUCACCACCGGUCUUGGUUCUUCAACAAUGUUUGGAAAUUGCACACUUCAAUCAAUUCUUGACGAUAGGGAGCCAAUGAAGAGAAUGGGAGUUGUGUCAGGGCUGUGGAGGAUUAGACUUUUUGUAUUAAUUUAGUAGCCUUUUUAAUUUCUUAGAGUUGUUGGAUUAAUUUGUUGGUUUGUAAUUAUUUUAUUUUGUAGCUUUUUAAUUUCUUGGACUUGUGAUACUUAUUUCUUGGACUUGAUGGAUUUAUUUUAUUUUUAUGUUUAGCAAGUGAUUUUAGCUAU